UAUGGCUUGUGAGUUAUUUACUUACAGCACAAUUGUUUUUGGCAGCAUAGUGAAGUGGAGUAGCACUGUUGGAGUCUGAACAAGCAUAAUCAGCACCAUUGUCCAGUAAAAUACUGAUGAUUUGUGAGUGACCUGGGAACAGAAUUUGAUAGGAACAGCAAGUAUAAUUAAUGAUUUCAUCUAAGAUCAGUAUGAUAGGACAGUAAAUGGAGCUGAGAGUAGCUGAAAGGUACUAGCUAAAAUGCUGCAUUGGAUAAAAAAAAAAGAAGACAAAACAAAACAAAACAAUCACAAAAAAAGCAAAUGAAAAUCAAUGAAUUAUUGAAUGGAAACCAAAUGACAUAUAAACGGUAAUUCUCAGUUGCUGUGGAAAAUGUAAAAAAGAAGAAGAGGAAACUAAUCAGGAAAUAGGAAACAGUUGAAGAAAGAUGAAUGAAGCAUUCAAUGAACGCGAUAAUGUGAGUGUUGAGUAUUAACUCAACUAAAACUCAUUGCAACAGAAAAGAACUAAAAUGGAAACAUGACUGAAAUUAGUGCUUGGUCACAUCCUAGGAACAGCUUGAUGUAUUAAUGAACAGUCAAUAAUGUUGGAGAUGAUAAAGAUUAAAGUUGUAGUUGAAGAAAAGUUGGCUGACACGGAGGGCUGUAAGCUAUUUGAAUAUUGGAAAAUCAUUACCUGUAUCACGAUGAUUCAAAAUAAAUAUCAAAAUACCAACAUCAUGACUGCUAUUCAAUGCUCUGUGAACUCUGUAAAGGCUGUAAGAUGUGACAUGGACAUCUGUAAUGGAGACUACUAAGCCUCAGCCAGCAGGAAAGAACACAGCAGGUAUUCUAAUUAUGUUUGCAUGCAGGAAGUCAUCUAGCAACUGCAGGACAAGGUGAUAGAAAAUUUGAGCAAGAAAAUCUGGGCUUUGAUGAGAGAAAGAUGGGUGUUGGAGUAGCUACCAUGAAGUUGGCCCUGAAUGGGGAUCUUCACAAUUACUUGUAAAAGUGGUGUAAGGGGGAAAUCCUAACA